rnacentral:lncRNA from 1 species
CGGUGACGCUUAAAGAGGGCCUGGAAGAAGACGACUCAGCCAAACGAAGCCACACAGGCAGCCUCGCCCCCCGCCUCAGGAUUCCCCACCCUCCAAUUUCCCGUCAGUCACACUGAAAACAUAGCCGGCAAGUCACAGAAGAGAGGGGAAAACGCUUAAAAGGCGGCAUCCAAAUCCCCGCGUCCCCGUCACCCAUGAGCGAAGUAGCGUUCGAGCCCCGGCUGUCUCAAGCCCCCGUCGCGGCUGGCGGUGCGGCACUGACGGCCCGGAAAAGGACACGGCUGUUCCCCGGCGGGCCCGGGCAGACACCGCGGCUGCGUCUAGCCUCAGACCCAUAAAUAGAGACGGCAAUAUCUGUCUUGACUCAAUAUCGUACCGAUCUAAAGGCGUUUGGCUACAAACUGCCCUCUGAGGUUACAACUGGGGACUUGGGGACAUCACUCGUGUCCGAACCACAAGCAGUCCAUCUGCUCAAUGCAAGCUGGCACACAACCUCCUGAGGACUCACUCAGGAUGUUUUGCUGGUGAAACACUGAGACAACAGCUGAUGUCCGAAGUGGAAUCAAAAAAUUGAAUAAUGACCUUUUGCCCCAUCUCCAGCGUGACUCAAAGUACCAUAUCUAUGGGAGUCUGUUGAACUCUGCCCAAGCCUACUUGGAGAAUGGUAGUAAGUGAUGUUCCUUUUCUAAUUCCCAAGCUCCCAUCUUUUGAUUAAGCUCCACUUCCUUGAAGGAUUGAACUAUGGUUGUCAAACUGAGGAUUCAUCCAUCUCUUCCUGGAUAAGCCUUCAACUUCUAAAAACAGCUACCUUUUUUUGAACUUUCUCCUCUGGUGACAGUUUUGGAGAGAGGGAGAGGAAGUGGAGAGAGAGAGAGGGAGAGAAAAGGAAGAGAGGAGAGAGAGAGAAGAAAGAGGAGAGAGAGAAGAAAGGAGAGAGAGAGAGAAGAGAGAAAGGAGGGAGGGAAAGCAAUAAUGUGCUUCAGUCUGUAUUCAGAUAAGAUCACAUCUUUCUCUGGAGGCAGAUGGUAUGUUUCAUCAUUAAUCUUUUGGGAUUGUCUUGGAUCAUUGUACUACUGAAAAUUGCCAAGUUAUUUACAAUUCAUCAUACAGUAUUGCUGUUAUUGAAUAUAAAGUUCUCCUGGUUCUGCUCACUUUACUUUGUAUCAGUUCACUGAUCUACUCACUGGAACAGAAGGCACCUGAGAAAAAACCAAAGCAGCCUCAGAUGACCCAAAGAUAGCUGCUUCUUUUAAUCAUCCCCUCACCUUUUUCAAGAGCUCCAAGGCCUUCAGAGUCAUUCCUCUAUCUCUCUAUAUGUUCCACAUAAUAUGGAAGUAAGUGCUUCCAGGACGCUUUCUGUGAUUAAUUCUACUCAGCUUAUUCAACCUUGUUCACUCCAGUGAAGACACUCUGAGUCUUCUUGGCAAUCAUAUGAUCACUCUGUGAAUCUGUUCUUGUCUGUGUGUUGCAUUCAUGUCUCAAAUGAUUCCUUCUUUGUCUCAUCUCCCCAGUUCAAGUAUAAGCAAAGAUUGUAUCUACCAUUUUUUUUUUUUUGCCCACUUCCACGAUUUCUAAUAUAACACUCUGCACCCAAGAAGUGUCUAGUACUGUGGUCAAAGAUCUCUGAUGUGGUUAAUAAUAACUGGACAUUUGCACUGGAACUUGUUCUUGAUGAAACCCUACUGGUCUUUGUAUUCACAAUUCCCUUUCUAAAUGUCCACUAGCCAUCUCUUUAAUAAAGUCAAAUUCAUUAGUCUAUAGUUUAUAGACUCUGUUCUUUUCCCUUUUUUGAAAAGUUAACCUUCAUCCCUCUCCAAUCCUUGUGAUACUUUUACCACUUUCCACUAUCUUUCAGUUGUUAUUGACACAUUUGCCAGUUAUUUGUCUUCUACAAAUAUUUGAACAUCUCUACACUGUACUGUAGCUACUCCUGUGGAAUUUACUUUGGGACACACACACACACACACACACUGACACUCUGCUCUCUCUCCCUUUCCAGUUUAAAGCCUUCUUGGCUAGAUUGGAUAAGACUCUUGGCAAGCACAUUUUCCAAGCACUUAAGUUCCUUCUAUCUGGAAACCAGCCAAAAUAGCAGGAAGGAGAAGGCACUCAGCCUAGCACUCCCCAACAACUACUCCAACAACAACAAUAACAAAAAAAAAUACUGUUCUAGGUUCUGAUAUGGAAACUCAGAAAAAAAUCAGUCAGUCAUUUUUACGGCCCGAAUUAGUAUAGGGAGACAGAAAGAAGCCUGCAGAAGCUGGAGGAUGGGCCACGGUCAGGGGUAGCUGUAUGGAACCUUCCAGUGGGGAAGGGGAACUGGGGGCCUCUUGUAUCCUAGGAUAGGAAGAGAACUGGGAUCCAGCACCAAUGAGAUGGAUGCUGUUCAACUCUUGAAAGAACAGAAACUGAAGUGGCAAGGCAUCCUGAGAGACAGAAGAGAGUUUAUGUCAAUCAGUCAAAUAAAACAACUAAUAUCACCUUGACCAUCCUGGGAGACGUGGAAGAUGCAGUCCAGCAGCUACUCCUUGCAGAUGCUACAGCAACAGUGACUCUUCGAAGACCCAGAAAAUCAAUAUUUUAUCACCAAAAUCCUGGGCGCUAUCAAAAAUGUUCAUGUCAGAAAUUAAUAUGAUUUCAUCAGUGAAAAUGACCUUAAAGAAGAGAUGUUGCCAUCUGCUUUGCUAUUGUUAUUGCUCAGUCAUUGUCUUGACUGAUUCUUCGUGACCCCCUGGACCAUAGCCAUUCUAUCCUCCACUAUCUCCUGAAGUCUGUUCAAGCUUCUGUUCUUUGCAUCCAUGGCAACAUCCAUUAUCUCAUCCUCUACCAUUCCCUUUUCCUUUCCCCUUCAAUUUUUCCCAACAUCAGGGUCUUUUCCAAUGAAUUCCAUCUUCCCAUUAUGUGAUCAAAAUAUUUAAGCUUUAACUUCAAUAUUUGACCUUCCAGGGAACAGUCUGAAUUAAUCUCUUUUAAGUAUUAAUUGAUCUGAUCUCCUUCUGUGCAAGGGAUUCUCAAAAGUCUUCUCCAGCAUCACAAAUUAAAAGCAUUGAUUCUGUGGCACUCAGCUUUUCUUAUAGUCCAAUUCUCAUAAUCAUAGUCCUGGAAAGACCAUAACUUCAACUAUGUGGUCCUUUGUUGGCAAGAUAAUGUCUCUACUAUUUAGUAUGCUGUGCCGAUUUUCCAGAGCUUUCCUUCCAAGGAGCAAGAAUUUGUUAUUUUCGUGGUUACAGUCACCAUCUGCAGUGAACUUUGAGCCCAAGGAUACAAAAUCUCAUGCUGUUUCCAUUUCUUCUCUACUUGCCAGGAAGUCGUGGGACCAGUUGCCAAGAUCUUAGUUGGGUUUUUUUUUUAAGUUUUUUAAUGGCUUCAGGCCAGCUUUUAAAAUCUCUCAAUUCAUUUUUAACCAUGAGACUGAUAUUAUCUGCAUAUCAGAGAUUGGUGAUAUUUCUCCCAGCAACCUUCCUUCUGACUUUUGAUUUGUGCAUCUGUGUUGGUAUGAACCCUAAAUGGGGGUCACAAAGAAUCAGACAUAACUUUAAGGGACUAAGCAACAACAACAACUCUGCAUUUGAGCUAAUUAAGUAAGGUGACAAUAUGACAUACCUUGACAUCCUCCUUUUCCAAAUUUAAACCAAUCAGUUGUUCCAUGUUUGCUUCUUGUAAUUGUUGCUUCUUGGCUGGCAUAGAGGUUCCUCAAGAUAUAAAAUAAUCUGAUAAGCCCAUUUCUUGAGGACUUGCUACAUUUUGUUGUGAUCUGCAAAAGAUUUAGAAUUAAUUAAUCAAUUUAGGAUUGAUGACUUUGAAGUAGAUUUUUUUGUUGUUGUUUUUGGAACUCCCUUGCUUUCUCCAUAAUUCAGCAAAGGUUAGCUCUAGGCUCUUUGAAACCAGAAUGUUCUUCUGAUAAUUUUGGAUUAUAUAUUACUUAAACCCAGUUUGCAGAGAAGAGAAAAAGAAAGAUUUCAAAGAGUCAAUCAGGAUCACAUAAGAUUUAUUAAAUUUAUUAGCU